rnacentral:lncRNA from 1 species
AUGAGAAAGUGUCAAGCUCCAACUGCUCUGGAGAUAUACCACCGAGCUCACUGCACACAAGUAGAGAUGUGGAGUCAAAGCACCUUGCAGCUAUUCCGUACUGAAGCAGGGCAGAGUCAUCCAAGUUCUACCAAGAGCACCAUAGUCUGCGGUCUCCCCCCAGGGGAUGCAAGCACAUGAUGAGAACAAACUGGACCUGGGAAUGGAAGGAGUAGUCAGAUGAGGAUGAGGAAGACCACCAGGAGUACAGAGCAUGGUGCAGAGUCAUAGCUACGAAGGUUCAACAUGGGAAAUGCCUUGGACACCAACAGCCCCAUACUGUGUUUCAUAUGUGUGAAUGUGACAAAGUAGCUGUUGGGAUAAGUGAAGGCAAGAGGAAAGAAAGGGAAAUGAGGACAUGUAGGUUGAUGUCAUUAUGCAGGUGCGGACUGGCACAAGUUAGGUCAAGGCCAUGAUUGGACAGUAAACAAUUAAGGCGGGGACAAAGCAUUUGUAAGUCCGGAGAGAAGGGGAAGGAGGACAAUCAAGUUGGAGAUGGAGAAGGGUGACCCAGAUCUGGGUGGUCUUGAAUUGCCAAGGUAGUUGGGAGGGAUUUCUGCAAGCAAAUUUGUCUUAUCUAGGUAGGUGGUUUAUAUCUUUAUCAAUUGGUUGUGAGUUCAUUGUGAGGAUGUAUUGUGGAUUGAGAAUUUAACAUACAGAUCUGAUUGAUAAGUUACAGUUUAUUGAGUCAUGAUUUUAUUGGGUUGUUGGGAAUGUGAGC